GAAAUGAGUUUGUCAUCUGGGCGGAAUGUAUUUAUACAGGCAUCGAAGAUACGUGGAUGGCAUUGAACGGCGAAGGCUUCCUAAUCUCAUUACCUGGGGUGGCUGUGACGAAACUAGGAGGAGUAAAACACUAGCCAUUCGAUUCGCUUUUAUCGAAUGAGAUGAAUUCCUCAGGAAAACGAAGCCCUAAAUUGCGGACGGGUAUUUUGCUCCAGAUUUACUCAUUCACACCCCGUGACUUCCUUUCUAUCAGCUGAGAAUUUUGUGUCAAACCUAGGCUCUUGGUUUAUUCGUUCGAUUUUUACGUAGGUGUUAAUUUAUUAACCCCCUGGCAGAAAACGCAGAGGACGCCCUGCCAAAUCGUGGAUUGAGAGAAUGAGAUCGCAACACUUGCAUUUUGUGAUUCAUCAAUGGAGAGAGCAUGAGAAAAGAACAACUUCGACGGGAAGUUUAGGUCUGUAUCCAUGACCCUAUCAAAACGGCGGCCGGAUAUUGUUCGAAAUGGUCAGAAAACAAUAUCUCUGUAACUUGUGACCAGGUUUGCUUCAAAAAUGGUUAUAACUUCAGUAUUAUGCUGUUACUAGUUUAAGCUAUUAGAACAAAUAAACAUAGGUAGCUAUUAAAAUAUUUAAUAUUACGGUUUUAUUUUAUUUUAUAUAUAUUAUAUUUUAUUAAAUUACGGUUUUAUAUAUUACAAUAGCUAAUUUUACGGUUUUCAAGUUAGUUUGGGUUAUGCUGAACACACAUUUGAUGCUACCUUUUCAAAAUACCCAAUCCUUUCUAAAACUGCGACCUUAACACAGCGAAAAACUGGUAUUUUUCCGGUUCUCCAAUUGAUAUGCUUCAAACUUUGUCAAAACUUAGUUUCUUUGGAAAAGCUGCGAAAUGUCAGGAGAAAAAACAUAAGUUGGGAAAAGCAGGGAAUAUAGUGAAUUCACUAUACAAAGGAUUAGACUGCAGUGGAUUGUAGGUAACUAGCGAAGCUCAAGAGUGCAGGGGGGGACACCAGAAGUGAGGAAAAACGGGGAAAAUCAUGGGAAAUAGGAAAAGCUCAGGAAAAACAUGAAAAGGUCAGAAAAAAGGGGAUGGAGGAAAGCCUUCCGGCACUCGCUAUUUACUUUGAAUGAAAUGGAUUGCUGGUUUCUGAUGGAGAUGGACACUAUCAGGGAAGGAUCGGGAAAAACAAAGGAUAAAGGAAGUUUACAACAAGAAUUUGAAUGGGGAGGAUUGCAUGAAGUUUUUGACUUAAAUUGUGGUUGCGGGUGUGGGGGAGAAUAUUGGAAAUCAAGAAGAUCAGAGAAAUAUCGGGGCGGGGAGGGGGAGGAGGGGGGGGAUACAGGAAAAUUGUUUGCAAGUGAAUUAGAAUAAAGAGGCUUGCAUGUUCCUAACAAAAGUUGGGAGUGUCAGAGAUAAGAAAAAAAAAUCAAAGAAGACAGUGGAAAUCUACGAAAAUAAGAGAAUUUCUUUUGUUGACCAUGGACACAAAACAUUCUCACUGUGUUAUUCUUGAAAUGCCUGCUCCACCGGUCUAACCGUUGUAUGGAACCUUGUCUGUCCUUCAUGUGCCCAUGCUCACUCGUCUUUUGUCAUCCAGAGUGCUCAACAGCACAACCUUCCUGGUAUGCGUGUUUUACUGAAUAAAUCUUGCUAUGUGAUCGUCAA